rnacentral:rRNA from 1 species
GCGCGAAAACUUCACACUGUGCGAAAGCACGAUGAGGGAAUCCCAAGUGCUGGCUCGUAAGAGUCAGCUGUUUUUCUGUCUAGAAAACAGAGAGAGUAAGAGCUGGGUAAGACGGGUGCCAGCCGCCGCGGUAAUACCUGCAGCUCAAGUGGUGGCCGCUAUUAUUGGGCCUAAAACGUUCGUAGCCGGUCUAGUAAAUGCCUGGGUAAAUCAUACGGCUUAACCGUACGAAUUCCGGGUAGACUGCUGGACUUGGGACUGGGAGAGGCUAGAGGUACUCCUGGGGUAGAGGUGAAAUUCUGUAAUCCUAGGGGGACGACCAGUGGCGAAGGCGUCUAGCUAGAACAGGUCUGACGGUGAGGAACGAAGCCCUGGGGCGCAAACGGG